rnacentral:rRNA from 1 species
UACGUAGGUGACCAGCGUUGUCCGGAUUUACUGGGCGUAAAGAGCGCGCAGGCGGUCGUUCAAGUCGAGUGUGAAAGCCCCCGGCUCAACUGGGGAGGGUCAUUCGAUACUGAUCGACUGGAAGGCAGGAGAGGGAAGCGGAAUUCCCGGUGUAGUGGUGAAAUGCGUAGAUAUCGGGAGGAACACCAGUGGCGAAGGCGGCUUCCUGGCCUGUUCUGACACUGAGGAGCGAAAGCGUGGGGAGCGAUCCGG